rnacentral:siRNA from 1 species
UGGAGUUCUCGAAGACCUGCCU